GACGAAGGAUGCAAGCGUUAUCCGGAUUUAUUGGGCGUAAAGGGCGCGUAGGCGGCUACGCACGUCCGUUGUGAAAUCGCUCGGCUCAACUGGGCGGGGUCAGCGGAUACGGCGUAGCUGGAGCAAGCUAGGGGGCAAUGGAAUUCCCGGUGUAGUGGUGGAAUGCGUAGAUAUCGGGAGGAACACCAGUGGCGAAGGCGGUUGCCUGGAGCUUUGCUGACGCUGAUGCGCGAAAGCGUGGGGAGCGAUCCGG
rnacentral:rRNA from 1 species